UCUCCGUAGGUGAACCUGCGGAGGGAUCAUUACCGAGUGAGGGUUCCGGCCCGACCUCCAACCCUUUGUGAAUUCGACCCAGUUGCCUCGGGGGCGACCCGGUCGCGUCGGAUUCCCGACGUCGGCGUCGGGGCCCCCGACGGACCCCCUUCUCACGCUGCAUCUUUGCGUCGGGUUGAUCAGAAAAUCAAUCAAAACUUUCAACAACGGAUCUCUUGGUUCUGGCAUCGAUGAAGAACGCAGC
rnacentral:misc_RNA from 1 species